rnacentral:rRNA from 1 species
CGAACGCAUCCCGCUGAAUUGAAGUGCUUGCACUGAUUUUCAGCAUUGGCUGAGUGGCGAACUGGUGAGUAACACGUGGGUAACCUGCCCGGAAGCAGGGGAUAACACUUGGAAACAGGUGCUAAUACCGUAUAACAACUGAAACCGCAUGGUUUCAGUUUGAAAGAUGGUUUCGGCUAUCACUUCUGGAUGGACCCGCGGCGUAUUAGCUAGUUGGUGGAGUAAUGGUUCACCAAGGCAAUGAUACGUAGCCGACCUGAGAGGGUAAUCGGCCACAUUGGGACUGAGACACGGCCCAAACUCCUACGGGAGGCAGCAGUAGGGAAUCUUCCACAAUGGACGAAAGUCUGAUGGAGCAACGCCGCGUGAGUGAAGAAGGGUUUCGGCUCGUAAAACUCUGUUGUUGAAGAAGAACACAUCUGAGAGUAACUGUUCAGGUGUUGACGGUACUUAACCAGAAAGCCACGGCUAACUACGUGCCAGCAGCCGCGGUAAUACGUAGGUGGCAAGCGUUGUCCGGAUUUAUUGGGCGUAAAGCGAGCGCAGGCGGUUUCUUAAGUCUGAUGUGAAAGCCUUCGGCUUAACCGGAGAAGUGCAUCGGAAACUGGGAGACUUGAGUGCAGAAGAGGACAGUGGAACUCCAUGUGUAGCGGUGAAAUGCGUAGAUAUAUGGAAGAACACCAGUGGCGAAGGCGGCUGUCUGGUCUGUAACUGACGCUGAGGCUCGAAAGCAUGGGUAGCGAACAGGAUUAGAUACCCUGGUAGUCCAUGCCGUAAACGAUGAAUACUAGGUGUUGGAGGGUUUCCGCCCUUCAGUGCCGCAGCUAACGCAUUAAGUAUUCCGCCUGGGGAGUACGAC